UCUGGUGACGAUGGCGGAGGGGACACACCCGUUCCCAUUCCGAACACGGCCGUUAAGCCCUCCAGCGCCGAUGGU
rnacentral:rRNA from 1 species